UACAUAGGGGGCAAGCGUUGUCCGGAAUGACUGGGCGUAAAGGGUGUGUAGGCGGUUUCGUAAGUUGGAAGUGUAAUACCUAGAGCUUAACUCAGGUGCUGCUUCCAAAACUGCGAGACUUGAGUGUCGGAGAGGAAAAUGGAAUUCCUAGUGUAGCGGUGGAAUGCGUAGAUAUUAGGAGGAACACCAGAGGCGAAAGCGAUUUUCUGGACGAUAACUGACGCUGAGGCACGAAAGCGUGGGGAGCAAACAGGAUUAGAUACCCUGGUAGUCCACGCUGUAAACGAUGGAUACUAGGUGUAGGGGGUAUCGACUCCCCCUGUACCGUAGCUAACGCAAUAAGUAUCCCGCCUGGGGAGUACGGCCGCAAGGUUGAA
rnacentral:rRNA from 1 species